UACGGAGGUUCCAAGCGUUGUUCGGAAUUACUGGGCGUAAAGGGGGCGCAGGCGGAUUGGUCAGUGGAAAGUGGAAGCCCGGGGCUCAGCCUCGGAUGUGCUUUCCAUACUGCCAAUCUUGAGUACGUGAGAGGAGAGCGGAAUUCAGGGUGUAGCGGUGAAAUGCUUAGAUAUCCUGAGGAACACCGGUGGCGAAAGCGGCUCUCUGGCACGAUACUGACGCUGAGGCCCGAAAGCGUGGGGAGCGAACGGG
rnacentral:rRNA from 1 species